GAUGAACGCUGGCGGCGUGCCUAAUACAUGCAAGUCGAGCGAAGCGGGGACGGGUGAGUAACACGUGGAUAAAACCCUAUAAGACUGGGGUAAAUUCGGGAAACCGGAGGUAAACCGGAUAAUGAUAGAUGUAUCCGCGCUGCAUUAGCUAGUUGGUAAGGUAACGGCUUACCAAGGCAACGAUGCAUAGCCGACCUGAGAGGGUGAUCGGCCACACUGGAACUGAGACACGGUCCAGACUCCUACGGGAGGCAGCAGUAGGGAAUCUUCCGCAAUGGGCGAAAGCCUGACGGAGCAACGCCGCGUGAGUGAUGAAGGUCUUCGGAUCGUAAAGCUCUGUUAUUAGGGAAGCGGUACCUAAUCAGAAAGCCACGGCUAACUACGUGCCAGCAGCCGCGGUAAUUC
rnacentral:rRNA from 1 species